rnacentral:rRNA from 1 species
GAUGAACGCUGGCGGCGUGCCUAAUACAUGCAAGUCGAGCGAACGGACGAGAAGCUUGCUUUUCUGAUGUUAGCGGCGGACGGGUGAGUAACACGUGGAUAACCUACCUAUAAGACUGGGAUAACUUCGGGAAACCGGAGCUAAUACCGGAUAAUAUUUUGAACCGCAUGGUUCAAAAGUGAAAGACGGUCUUGCUGUCACUUAUAGAUGGAUCCGCGCUGCAUUAGCUAGUUGGUAAGGUAACGGCUUACCAAGGCAACGAUGCAUAGCCGACCUGAGAGGGUGAUCGGCCACACUGGAACUGAGACACGGUCCAGACGCCUACGGGAGGCAGCAGUAGGGAAGCUUCCGCAAUGGGCGAAAGCCUGACGGAGCAACGCCGCGUGAGUGAUGAAGGUCUUCGGAUCGUAAAACUCUGUUAUUAGGGAAGAACAUAUGUGUAAGUAACUGUGCACAUCUUGACGGUACCUAAUCAGAAAGCCACGGCUAACUACGUG